ACGGCUCAGUAACACGUGGAUAACCUGCCCUNGGGACCGGCAUAACCCCGGGAAACUGGGGAUAAUUCCGGAUAACGCAUAUGUGCUGGAAUGCUUUAUGCGUAAAAUGGAUUCGUCUGCCCAAGGAUGGGUCUGCGGCCUAUCAGGUAGUAGUGGGUGUAAUGUACCUACUAGCCGACAACGGGUACGGGUUGUGAGAGCAAGAGCCCGGAGAUGGAUUCUGAGACAUGAAUCCAGGCCCUACGGGGCGCAGCAGGCGCGAAAACUUUACAAUGCGGGAAACCGUGAUAAGGGGACACCGAGUGUCAGCAUCAUAUGCUGGCUGUCCGGGUGUGUAAAAUACACCCGUUAGCAAGGGCCGGGCAAGACCGGUGCCAGCCGCCGCGGUAACACCGGCGGCCCGAGUGGUGAUCGUGAUUAUUGGGUCUAAAGGGUCCGUAGCCGGUUUGGUCAGUCCUCCGGGAAAUCUGAUAGCUCAACUAUUAGGCUAUCGGGGGAUACUACCAGACUUGGAACCGGGAGAGGUAAGAGGUACUACAGGGGUAGGAGUGAAAUCUUGUAAUCCCUGUGGGACCACCUGUGGCGAAGGCGUCUUACCAGAACGGGUUCGACGGUGAGGGACGAAAGCUGGGGGCACGAACCGGAUUAGAUACCCGGGUAGUCCCAGCCGUAAACGAUGCUCGCUAGGUGUCAGGCAUGGCGCGACCGUGUCUGGUGCCGCAGGGAAGCCGUGAAGCGAGCCACCUGGGAAGUACGGCCGCAAGGCUGAAACUUAAAGGAAUUGGCGGGGGAGCAC
rnacentral:rRNA from 1 species